GUUUGCCUGUGUGUGGAUGGUGUUCAGUACCAGGGACGGGCAUACCUGUGUGUGGAUGGUGUUCAGCACCAAGGAUAGUCGUGUUUAUCU
rnacentral:pre_miRNA from 1 species